rnacentral:rRNA from 1 species
UGAAUACGAGACGCUAAGGCGUUGAAGUAGUGUAUGUCAUACUUCCAAGAAAAGCUUGCACUGUCAUAGAUAAAAAACGCCUGUACCAUAACCGACACAGGUGGGUAGGUAGAGUAUACUAAGGGGCGCGAGAUAACUCUCUCUAAGGAACUCGGCAAAAUAACUCCGUAACUUCGGGAGAAGGAGUGCCUUAUUUAUAAGGCUGCAAUAACAAGAUCCAAGCAACUGUUUAUCAAAAACACAGGUCUCCGCUAAGUCGUAAGACGAUGUAUGGGGGCUGACGCCUGCCCAGUGCCAGAAGGUUAAAGAAGUUGGUUAGCAAUAGCGAAGCUGAUAACUGAAGCCCUGGUGAACGGCGGCCGUAACAAUAACGGUCCUAAGGUAGCGAAAUUCCUUGUCGGGUAAGUUCCGACCCGCACGAAAGGCGUAAUGAUUUGGAUACUGUCUCGGAGAGGGGCUCGGUGAAAUAGACUUGUCUGUGAAGAUGCGGACUACCUGCACCAGGACAGAAAGACCCUAUGAAGCUUUACUGUAACUUGAAAUUGAAAUUGGACUUUAUUCGCGCAGUAUAGGUGGGAGGCGUUGAUUGUAAUCUUGCGGGAUUAUUGGAGCCAUCAGUGAGAUACCACCCUUGUAAUGUUAGAUUUCUAACUUUGAAUCAUUAUCUGGUCAAAGAACAGUUUCAGGCGGGCAGUUUGACUGGGGCGGUCGCCUCCUAAACGGUAACGGAGGCGUACAAAGGUUUCCUCUGAACGGUUAGAAAUCGUAUCUAGAGUGUAAAGGCAUAAGGAAGCUUGACUGUGAGACCUACAAGCCGAGCAGGGACGAAAGUCGGUCUUAGUGAUCUGACGGUACUGAGUGGAAAGGCCGUCACUCAACGGAUAAAAGUUACUCUAGGAUAACAGGCUGAUCUCCCCCAAGAGUUCACAUCGACGGGGAGGUUUGGCACCUCGAUGUCGGCUCAUCGCAUCCUGGGGCGGUAGUACGUCCCAAGGGUUGGGCUGUUCGCCCAUGAAAGCGGUACGCGAGCUGGGUUCAGAACGUCGUGAGACAGUUCGGUCCAUAUCCGGUGUAGGCGUUAGAAUAUUGAGAGGAGCCUUCUUUAGUACGAGAGGACCGAGAAGGACAUACCUCUGGUGUACCAGUUAUCGUGCCAACGGUAAACGCUGGGUAGCUAUGUAUGGAGUGGAUAACCGCUGAAAGCAUCUAAGUGGGAAGCCCACCUCAAGAUAAGUAUUCUCC